GCAUGAGCUGUGGGUUCUAGGGUUUCAUCUCUAGGUUUUGUGAGAAGAAAAAUGUAAGAGUGAGUCUUGUCCAAUCUUCUAGACCACCACCUCCUUGUAAAGCUUCAUCUUUCGAUAUGAAAGAGUUCAAAAGAUUCGAAGAAAGGAGCUUGGAUCAGCCAUCUAGAGCCUUCAACACAAGCUAGCACUCCCGUGAAGGAAGAUCCGAUCUGAGCUUCGAGUGGAUGAUUUGUAGAGGUCAGAU
rnacentral:lncRNA from 1 species